AUAUCCGCAUCUGAUAAUCGAUUAUCAACGGUUCAAAUUCAAAUCUUCUGAACGUUUUAUGACCGUUUGAGCUCAUUAAAUUCAAGAUUUUCAAUCACCACCUGAUCUUCAAACAUUCUCACCUAUAAAUGAGUGAUCUCCCCAUCGUUUGAGCUCAUUAAAUUCAAGAUUUUCAAUCACCACCUGAUCUUCAAAUAUUCUCACCUAUAAAUGAGUGAUCUCCCCUCAUUACUUUCACAUUCCAAACAUCUUAUCUCAAAUUUUCUUCCCAAAAAUCAUAAUUCUUU
rnacentral:lncRNA from 1 species